GAUGAACGCUGGCGGCGUGCUUAACACAUGCAAGUCGAACGGAAAGGCCCAAGCUUGCUUGGGUACUCGAGUGGCGAACGGGUGAGUAACACGUGGGUGAUCUGCCCUGCACUUCGGGAUAAGCCUGGGAAACUGGGUCUAAUACCGGAUAGGACCACUUCUUGGAUGUUGUGGUGGAAAGGUUUUUCGGUGUGGGAUGAGCUCGCGGCCUAUCAGCUUGUUGGGGGGGUAAUGGCCUACCAAGGCGUCGACGGGUAGCCGGCCUGAGAGGGUGUACGGCCACAUUGGGACUGAGAUACGGCCCAGACUCCUACGGGAGGCAGCAGUGGGGAAUAUUGCACAAUGGGCGCAAGCCGGAUGCAGCGACGCCGCGUGGGGGAUGACGGCCUUCGGGUUGUAAACUCCUUUCGCUAGGGACGAAGCGUUUUGUGACGGUACCUGGAGAAGAAGCACCGGCUAACUACGUG
rnacentral:rRNA from 1 species